AUUAGUGGCGAACGGGUGAGUAACACGUGGGCAAUCUGCCCUGCACUCUGGGAUAAGCCCGGGAAACUGGGUCUAAUACCGGAUACGACACUCCGAGGCAUCUUGGGGUGUGGAAAGUUCCGGCGGUGCAGGAUGAGCCCGCGGCCUAUCAGCUUGUUGGUGGGGUAAUGGCCUACCAAGGCGACGACGGGUAGCCGGCCUGAGAGGGUGACCGGCCACACUGGGACUGAGACACGGCCCAGACUCCUACGGGAGGCAGCAGUGGGGAAUAUUGCACAAUGGGCGAAAGCCUGAUGCAGCGACGCCGCGUGAGGGAUGACGGCCUUCGGGUUGUAAACCUCUUUCAGCAGGGAAGAAGCGAAAGUGACGGUACCUGCAGAAGAAGCACCGGCUAACUACGUGCCAGCAGCCGCGGUAAUACGUAGGGUGCGAGCGUUGUCCGGAAUUAUUGGGCGUAAAGAGCUCGUAGGCGGUUUGUCGCGUCGAUUGUGAAAGCCCGGGGCUUAACCCUGGGUCUGCAGUCGAUACGGGCAGGCUAGAGUUCGGCAGGGGAGACUGGAAUUCCUGGUGUAGCGGUGAAAUGCGCAGAUAUCAGGAGGAACACCG
rnacentral:rRNA from 1 species